AAAAAUGGGGAAUCUUUUAAUAUCUCGGUUUACUUAAUGUUGUUUUGGAAAAUCGUUUAAGUUAACUGGGCGUUAAGAAUGGGGAAUCUCUUAAUGUCUCGGUUACUUAAUGUUUUGUUUUGAAAAUCAUUAAGUUAAAUGAGUAUUAAGAAUGGGGAAUCUCUUAAUGUCUACGUUUACUUAAUGUUGGCGUGAAAACCAUUAGAGUUAAACGAGUAUUAAAAAUGGG
rnacentral:lncRNA from 1 species